rnacentral:rRNA from 1 species
GCCGCGUGGGGGAUGACGGUCUUCGGAUUGUAAACCCCUUUCAGUAGGGACGAAGCGCAAGUGACGGUACCUGCAGAAGAAGCACCGGCUAACUACGUGCCAGCAGCCGCGGUAAUACGUAGGGUGCGAGCGUUGUCCGGAAUUACUGGGCGUAAAGAGCUCGUAGGCGGUUUGUCACGUCGUCUGUGAAAUCCCUCGGCUUAACCGGGGGCGUGCAGGCGAUACGGGCAGACUUGAGUACUACAGGGGAGACUGGAAUUCCUGGUGUAGCGGUGAAAUGCGCAGAUAUCAGGAGGAACACCGGUGGCGAAGGCGGGUCUCUGGGUAGUAACUGACGCUGAGGAGCGAAAGCAUGGGUAGCGAACAGGAUUAGAUACCCUGGUAGUCCAUGCCGUAAACGGUGGGCGCUAGGUGUGGGGUCCUUCCACGGACUCCGUGCCGUAGCUAACGCAUUAAGCGCCCCGCCUGGGGAGUACGGCCGCAAGGCUAAAACUCAAAGGAAUUGACGGGGGCCCGCACAAGCGGCGGAGCAUGUGGAUUAAUUCGAUGCAACGCGAAGAACCUUACCUAGGCUUGACAUAUACAGGACGACGGCAGAGAUGUCGUUUCCCUUGUGGCUUGUAUACAGGUGGUGCAUGGUUGUCGUCAGCUCGUGUCGUGAGAUGUUGGGUUAAGUCCCGCAACGAGCGCAACCC